CAAUAGCGUAUAUUAAAGUUGUUGCAGUUAAAAAGCUCGUAGUUGGAUUUCUGGUGAGAUGGAUUAUGUCUAGGUCGAAAGAUCUUGUUCAUGGUUCGUUUUGCCCUUCUUGUCAGGAACCCGCUGAGAUUCGCGUCUUGUCGGUGGAAUGGCAUCGUUUACUGUGAAAAAAUUAGAGUGUUCAAAGCAGGCAUCGCCGUUGAAUACAUUAGCAUGGAAUAAUAAGAUAAGACUUUGGUGGUCUAUUUUGUUGGUUUGCACGCCAAAGUAAUGAUUAAUAGGGAUAGUUGGGGGUAUUCGUAUUCCAUUGCUAGAGGUGAAAUUCUUAAAUUUAUGGAAGACGAACUACUGCGAAAGCAUUUACCAAGGAUGUUUCCAUUAA
rnacentral:rRNA from 1 species